rnacentral:rRNA from 1 species
UAUAGAUGGAUCCGCGCUGCAUUAGCUAGUUGGUAAGGUAACGGCUUACCAAGGCAACGAUGCAUAGCCGACCUGAGAGGGUGAUCGGCCACACUGGAACUGAGACACGGUCCAGACUCCUACGGGAGGCAGCAGUAGGGAAUCUUCCGCAAUGGGCGAAAGCCUGACGGAGCAACGCCGCGUGAGUGAUGAAGGUCUUCGGAUCGUAAAACUCUGUUAUUAGGGAAGAACAUAUGUGUAAGUAACUGUGCACAUCUUGACGGUACCUAAUCAGAAAGCCACGGCUAACUACGUGCCAGCAGCCGCGGUAAUACGUAGGUGGCAAGCGUUA